UACGAAGGGGGCUAGCGUUGCUCGGAAUCACUGGGCGUAAGGGGUGCGUAGGCGGGUCUUUUAAGUCAGGGGUGAAAUCCUGGAGCUCAACUCCAGAACUGCCUUUGAUACUGAGGAUCUUGAGUUCGGGAGAGGUGAGUGGAACUGCGAGUGUAGAGGUGAAAUUCGUAGAUAUUCGCAAGAACACCAGUGGCGAAGGCGGCUCACUGGCCCGAUACUGACGCUGAGGCACGAAAGCGUGGGGAGCAAACAGG
rnacentral:rRNA from 1 species